GAGUUUGAUCUUGGCUCAGGAUGAACGCUGGCGGCGUGCCUAAUACAUGCAAGUCGAGCGAACGGACGAGAAGCUUGCUUCUCUGAUGUUAGCGGCGGACGGGUGAGUAACACGUGGAUAACCUACCUAUAAGACUGGGAUAACUUCGGGAAACCGGAGCUAAUACCGGAUAAUAUUUUGAACCGCAUGGUUCAAAAGUGAAAGACGGUCUUGCUGUCACUUAUAGAUGGAUCCGCGCUGCAUUAGCUAGUUGGUAAGGUAACGGCUUACCAAGGCAACGAUGCAUAGCCGACCUGAGAGGGUGAUCGGCCACACUGGAACUGAGACACGGUCCAGACUCCUACGGGAGGCAGCAGUAGGGAAUCUUCCGCAAUGGGCGAAAGCCUGACGGAGCAACGCCGCGUGAGUGAUGAAGGUCUUCGGAUCGUAAAACUCUGUUAUUAGGGAAGAACAUAUGUGUAAGUAACUGUGCACAUCUUGACGGUACUAAUCAGAAAGCCACGGCUAACUACGUCG
rnacentral:rRNA from 1 species